rnacentral:rRNA from 1 species
UAACGGCGAGUGAAGCGGCAACAGCUCAAAUUUGAAAUCUGGCCCUCUUUGGGGGUCCGAGUUGUAAUUUGCAGAGGGUGCUUUGGUGUUGACAGCGGUCUAAGUUCCUUGGAACAGGACGUCACAGAGGGUGAGAAUCCCGUACGUGGCCGCUUGCCUCCGCCGUGUAAAGCCCCUUCGACGAGUCGAGUUGUUUGGGAAUGCAGCUCUAAAUGGGAGGUAAAUUUCUUCUAAAGCUAAAUACUGGCCAGAGACCGAUAGCGCACAAGUAGAGUGAUCGAAAGAUGAAAAGCACUUUGGAAAGAGAGUCAAACAGCACGUGAAAUUGUUGAAAGGGAAGCGCUUGCAGCCAGACUUGCCCGUAGUUGCUCACCCGGACUUUUGCCCGGGGCACUCUUCUGCGGGCAGGCCAGCAUCAGUUUGGGCGACCGGAUAACGGCCUCUGUCAUGUAUCUUCCUCCGGGAUGACCUUAUAGGGGAGGCGUAAUGCGGCCAGCCUGGACUGAGGUCCGCGCUUCGGCUAGGAUGCUGGCGUAAUGGCUGUAAGCGGCCCGUCUUGAAACACGGACCAAGGAGUCUAACAUCUAUGCGAGUGUUUGGGUGUCAAGCCCGGGCGCGUAAUGAAAGUGAACGGAGGUGGGAACCCUUUCGGGGGCGCACCAUCGACCGAUCCUGAUGUCUUCGGAUGGAUUUGAGUAAGAGCAUAGCUGUUGGGACCCGAAAGAUGGUGAACUAUGCUUGAAUAGGGUGAAGCCAGAGGAAACUCUGGUGGAGGCUCGCAGCGGUUCUGACGUGCAAAUCGAUCGUCAAAUUUGGGCAUAGGGGCGAAAGACUAAUCGAACUAUCUAGUAGCUGGUUCCUGCCGAAGUUUCCCUCAGGAUAGCAGUAACGUAUUCAGUUUUAUGAGGUAAAGCGAAUGAUUAGAGGCCUGGGGGUUGAAACAACCUUCACCUAUUCUCAAACUUUAAAUAUGUAAGAAGUCCCUGUUACUUGAUUGAACGGGGACAUUUGAAUGCACCGUUACUAGUGGGCCAUUUUUGGUAAGCAGAACUGGCGAUGCGGGAUGAACCGAACGCGGGGUUAAGGUGCCAGAAUGCACGCUCAUCAGACACCACAAAAGGUGUUAGUUCAUCUAGACAGCAGGACGGUGGCCAUGGAAGUCGGAAUCCGCUAAGGAGUGUGUAACAACUCACCUGCCGAAUGAACUAGCCCUGAAAAUGGAUGGCGCUCAAGCGUGCUACCCAUACCCCGCCGCUGGGGCAGACAUUAUGCCCCAGCGAGUAGGCAGGCGUGGAGGUCCGUGACGAAG